rnacentral:rRNA from 1 species
UUUUAAUGGCCGCAGUAUUUUGACUGUGCAAAGGUAGCAUAAUAAUUAGUCUUUUAAUUGAGGGCUAGAAUGAAUGGUUGGACGAGAUAUAUUCUGUUUCAUAAUUAUUUAUAUUAGAAUUUUAUUUUUUAGUGAAAAAGCUAAAAUUAAAUUAAAAGACGAGAAGACCCUAUAAAUCUUUAUAUUUUAUUAAUUAUUAUUUUAUUUAGAUAUUAUUUUAUUUUAAUUAAUAAAAUAUUUUAUUGGGGCGAUACUGAAAUAUAAUAAACUUUUAGUAGUAUUCAAUCAUUAAUUUAUGAAUAAAUGAUCUGUUAUUAACAAUUAAAAAACUAAGUUACUUUAGGGAUAACAGCGUAAUUUUUUUGGAGAGUUCAUAUUAAUAAAAAAGAUUGCGACCUCGAUGUUGGAUUAAGAAAUAAUUUUAGGUGCAGAAGCUUAAAAAAUAAGUCUGUUCGACUUUUAAUUUCUUAC